AAAUUGAAGGUGCGCGGUUUUCAUUCUCUGUUGUACUCUGAACCGUUAGCGUCACUUGAAAUUACUCCCGGGCUUGCAGUGUACUGUAGCACAAACAAAUCCUCUUUGUGUGUUGAAGUUUGAAAAAGCUCACAAUGGCAGCAAGGAAAGCAGCAGCAAAGUCUCCAGCUAAAAAGGCAGCAACGGGAAAGAAAGUGGGUGUGAAGAAAGGAGGUGUGAAGAAGGCCACAAAGAAGGCAGCACCCGCAAAGAAAGCAGCAAAGAAAGGAGCAAAGAAGGCAGCAAAAAAAGGAGCAAAGGGAAAGAAAGCAGCAAAGAAGUAAAGCAAGCAUCAUAUCACCGCAAUGCCUUGUCAUCAUCCAGCCAUUAAUGUUCAUUCAUCUGUUGUCUUUCUUGUUGACCGAGGCGGGUGUUUUAUACCAAACUUUUAGUAAUAUAUGUUUUUAUUGACUGUAGAUAAUUUAUGAAAUGUAGAUUUUUAUUCUUUUAGAAAUGUAGAUCUGGAUAUUAACCUGCAUCUUUUCAUGAACUGCUUCAGCAUAUAUUGAAAUUUUAAAGUGAUAAACAUAAAAAAGUCCACCUCAUUCAUAUUUAUCAACGGAAUCCGUUACAGAAAUACUCCUGUCUUAGAUUGACAUAUUGUCAAACUAGGAAUCAAGAUGUGUGUAAUAAAACUUAAAUAACAAACAAAACA